rnacentral:rRNA from 1 species
AUUGAACGCUGGCGGCAGGCCUAACACAUGCAAGUCGAGCGGAUGAGAGGAGCUUGCUUCUCGAUUCAGCGGCGGACGGGUGAGUAAUGCCUAGGAAUCUGCCUGGUAGUGGGGGAUAACGUCCGGAAACGGACGCUAAUACCGCAUACGUCCUACGGGAGAAAGCAGGGGACCUUCGGGCCUUGCGCUAUCAGAUGAGCCUAGGUCGGAUUAGCUAGUUGGUGAGGUAAUGGCUCACCAAGGCGACGAUCCGUAACUGGUCUGAGAGGAUGAUCAGUCACACUGGAACUGAGACACGGUCCAGACUCCUACGGGAGGCAGCAGAGGGGAAUAUUGGACAAUGGGCGAAAGCCUGAUCCAGCCAUGCCGCGUGUGUGGAGAAGGUCUUCGGAUUGUAAAGCACUUUAAGUUGGGAGGAAGGGUACUUACCUAAUACGUGAGUAUUUUGACGUUACCGACAGAAUAAGCACCGGCUAACUCUGUGCCAGCCGCCGCGGUAAGAC